rnacentral:rRNA from 1 species
UGUGAUGCCCUUCGAUGUCCUGGGCUGCACACGUGCUACAAUGGCUAGCGCAGUGAGCAUAUUUCAACCGAAACAUCGGUUGGCUGUUCUGAUUGACCCCUUCUGGGUCUCUCUGUAACACUACCGAUGAUCCCUCCUCUGAAAAGAGAGGGUAAGCCGUUCGAAAUUCUGGUAACGAUUCCCCGUAGUUAAGCAAACUUAAACCAUAGUGGUGUCAAACGGGUCCGCUUCCAUCGGAAAAGAUUCCUCCGGAAAAAGGCUUAUGCAGGCAUUUCACGUAUGCUCCUAUAAAUUCCUGGUAGGGAUAGUCUAUUGUAACUGGUAGACUUGUCAACUAGGAAUGCCUUGUACGGGUGGGGUAGCACAUUCCACCCGGGAUACGUCCCUGCCUUUUGUACACACCGCCCGUCGCUCUUACCAAUUGAACAGCACUACGAGUUUAAAGGCCCGAGAAA